AGGGAGUUGGGCCUCGUGUGCCACACCCCAAGCCUUGUCACUGCUGAUCCUUAGACCCUCUGCUUCUCAUGGGCACUUAGAUCUGAACUAAAUUGCAAUGUGAAGUGUGAGUUUCAAGUGUCUGGGCUGGGCAGCUGGGCACUUGGUCAGUUUUACAAUUGGAAAACUUCUUGGCUGACUUUUGCUUGAGUAUGUGUAAAGCCAGAAACUGAACCUUAGUGCCCAGGCCUUGCUGCACGGCACGCUCCUGCUGUGGCUAAAUACAGGAGGUCCUUACUAACUGAAGAAAGCAGAUACACUUUAUCUCGCUACUUGGCUGUCUUUGCUUAGUGUUUAGUGAUUGGUUUGUGCCAUGAAUUCAAAUUUGGCUAUUUCUGUGUAUUUUUUUCCCCAUUUCCCCUAGGACGAAAAGGGGGUGAGCUGGCCUCUGCUGUUCAUGCCUAUACAAAGACAGGGGACCCCUACAUGAAGUCCCUGGUGCAGCACAUUCUGAGCUUGGUGUCUCACCCUGUCCUGAGCUUCCUCUACCGGUGGAUAUAUGAUGGGGAGUUGGAGGACACUUACCACGAAGUAAGUACCGAGACCUGGGCUAAGGGGCGUGGCACCCACCUUUUCCAGUGUGGUUGAUCUCAGCCAUUAUCACCGCCUCUGAACGGGACUAUGCCUGCACCUCCAGGGUCAGUGCUGGGAGCUCAGCGAGGUAUGAGUGCAGGCUCACUGGUGGACUGAUGGCAGAGGCGUGUGGGCUGCUCUCCCAGGCCUGGGAGCUGUCUUUUUACAUGGGUAUGUUAUAAACUUGGUCGGCUUGGUGCUGAGGAUUUGAGUGACGCAAGCUACUGCAUUUGUGUCUGUUUUCCUUUGGAAAUACAGGUAGUUACAUGUGAGGCACCGUGCAUGUUCCUAAAAAUACCUGACAUAGAACCUGUAGCAAAACCAGAGGGGCUUGGCAGUUGGGGAACAGAGCUAGAGACAGCACACUCGAAAGUAUUGCCAGCAGCACAGAGAAAUGGAAAAAGAAACGUGAGAAAAGCUGUCUCAUUGAUCCACAUAUGCUAAGAGGCUAAGAAGUGCAUAGAUACUACACAGAGUACAGCAUUCACGGCAGAAGCUCUGAUGUUUGCUGCAGAAGUGCUACAGAGAGGAAGGGCUUUUUAGGUGGGGGAUGGGUUGAAACCAGGCCACACGUUUGCUAGACAAAUGCUCCACCACUGACCUACUGACCUAUAUCCCCAGGCUUCUGUCUGGAUUUCUGAAAUGUGCGGUAUAUAACUGUUCAUUACGUUUCUCAGACUGAUGUACUGUGCUGUAGUACGGUAUACAUUUCGGGUAUUUUUCUGAAGAUACCCAGUUGCUUGAAAUAUGAGUAAGACUUAAGGUUUGAUUUAUUGUGUGUAUGCACAGGUGCAUGUGUGUCUGUGUGUGUGUGCUCAAGUGCGUGUGUAAGCCAGAAGUUAGUCUCAGGUAUUGACCUCCAUACAACUUCUACCUUCUUCACUUUUUACUGAGUAAACUAGGCUGGCUACCCAGAAUGCCCUAGGGAUCUGCCUGUCUCUCUCCAGCUCUUGGAUUACUAGUGUGUGUCACUAUAGCCAGGGCUUUUGCCUGUUUGUUUUUUAAUGAUAUUGUUAUUUUUGUUCUGUUUUUCCCAUAUCAUAUAUUCUGGUUAUUGUUUCCCCUUCUCAACUCCUCCCAGGUCCUCUCUACCUCCCCUCUCAUCCUUUCCCUCUCUCUCAUUAGAAUACAAUGGGCUUCUAAAAAAUAAUAAUAAAAUAUGG
rnacentral:lncRNA from 1 species